GAUGAACGCUGGCUACAGGCUUAACACAUGCAAGUCGAGGGGAAACGACGGGGAAGCUUGCUUCCCCGGGCGUCGACCGGCGCACGGGUGAGUAACGCGUAUCCAACCUGCCUCUGACUGAGGGAUAACCCGUCGAAAGUCGGCCUAAUACCUCAUGGCAUCGUCUGCGGGCAUCCAACGACGAUUAAAGAUUUCAUCGGUCAGGGAUGGGGAUGCGUCUGAUUAGCUUGUUGGCGGGGUAACGGCCCACCAAGGCUACGAUCAGUAGGGGUUCUGAGAGGAAGGUCCCCCACAUUGGAACUGGGACACGGUCCAAACUCCUACGGGAGGCAGCAGUGAGGAAUAUUGGUCAAUGGGCGGGAGCCUGAACCAGCCAAGUAGCGUGCAGGAUGACGGCCCUAUGGGUGGUAAACUGCUUUUAUGCGGGGAUAAAGUGAGGGACGUGUCCUUCAUUGCAGGUACCGCAUGAAUAAGGACCGGCUAAUUCCGUG
rnacentral:rRNA from 1 species